GUACGUAGGGUCGCGAGCGUUGUCCGGAUUUAUUGGGCGUAAAGAGCUCGUAGGCGGUUUGGCAAGUCGGGUGUGAAAACUCCGGGCUCAACUCGGAGACGCCACUCGAUACUGCCAUGACUUGAGUCCGGUAGGGGAGUGCGGAAUUCCUGGUGUAGCGGUGAAAUGCGCAGAUAUCAGGAGGAACACCGGUGGCGAAGGCGGCACUCUGGGCCGGUACUGACGCUGAGGAGCGAAAGCGUGGGGAGCGAACAGG
rnacentral:rRNA from 1 species